rnacentral:rRNA from 1 species
GAUGAACGCUGGCGGCGUGCCUAAUACAUGCAAGUCGAGCGAACGGACGAGAAGCUUGCUUCUCUGAUGUUAGCGGCGGACGGGUGAGUAACACGUGGAUAACCUACCUAUAAGACUGGGAUAACUUCGGGAAACCGGAGCUAAUACCGGAUAAUAUUUUGAACCGCAUGGUUCAAAAGUGAAAGACGGUCUUGCUGUCACUUAUAGAUGGAUCCGCGCUGCAUUAGCUAGUUGGUAAGGUAACGGCUUACCAAGGCAACGAUGCAUAGCCGACCUGAGAGGGUGAUCGGCAACACGGGAACUGAGACACGGCCCAACCCCCGAGGGGGGGCAGCAGGAGGGACUCUCCCGCAAGGGGCGAAGGCCUGACGGAGCAACGCCGCGGGAGGAAUGAAGGUCUUCGGAUCGUAAAACUCUUUUAUGAGGAAAGAAAAUUUGUGAAAGAAACUGUCCACAUCUUGCCGGACCCUAAUCAGAAAGCCGGGGCUAACUCCGUC